UACGGAGGGUGCAAGCGUUAUCCGGAUUCACUGGGUUUAAAGGGUGCGUAGGCGGGUAGGUAAGUCAGUGGUGAAAUCUCCGAGCUUAACUUGGAAACUGCCGUUGAUACUAUCUAUCUUGAAUGCUGUGGAGGUUAGCGGAAUAUGUCAUGUAGCGGUGAAAUGCUUAGAUAUGACAUAGAACACCAAUUGCGAAGGCAGCUAGCUACACAGUUAUUGACGCUGAUGCACGAAAGCGUGGGGAGCAAACAGG
rnacentral:rRNA from 1 species